rnacentral:lncRNA from 1 species
AAGCCAGAGCAGACAGCAAUUUCGGGACAUUGCAGAGCUGUAGUAGAUCUGUACUGGUCUGCAGACAGACAAUAAUUUGCACUAAGACCAGGAAGACGUUCUGUGAGGAAGACAUAGGUGGAAAUACGGAAAGCAGAAAAGACAACUUCGGGGUGGCCGGGAGAUAACAGAAGUUACUAAAUCCAUGGCUCAGCAAUGAACUUCCUACUCCCAGCAACUCUAAGAGGCUGCUCCUGAGGUGUCUCCCAGCCCAUGAGCUCUGAUGCAGUGCAUUCCUGCCAGGAACUUCAUUUCAGCCUCAGGUGCA